GACGAGGGGUCCAAGCGUUGUUCGGAAUUAUUGGGCGUAAAGCGGGUGUAGGCGGCUCUAUAAGUCAGAAGUGAAAGCCCUGGGCUUAACCCGGGAAGUGCUUUUGAUACUGCAGAGCUUGAAUGUGGGAGAGGGUAGUGGAAUUCCAGGUGUAGUGGUGAAAUACGUAGAUAUCUGGAGGAACACCGGUGGCGAAGGCGGCAUCCUGGACCGGCAUUGACGCUGAGGAGCGAAAGCCAGGGGAGCAAACGGG
rnacentral:rRNA from 1 species